AUUGAACGCUGGCGGCAGGCCUAACACAUGCAAGUCGAGCGAGCGGCGCACAGGUGCGUAAUGUAUGGGGACUGCCCGAUAGAGGGGGAUAACUCCUGGAAACGGUGUCUAAUACCGCGUACACUCGGGUAACCCAUAGUGGAUUAGCUAGUGGGUAAGGUAAUGGCUUACCUAGGCGACGAUCCCUAGCUGGUCUGAGAGGAUGAUCAGCCACACUGGGACUGAGACACGGCCCAGACUCCUACGGAGGCAGCAGUGGGGAAUAUUGCACAAUGGGCGCAAGCCUGAUGCAGCCAUGCCGCGUGUAUGAAGAAGGCCUUAGGGUUGUAAAGUACUUUCAGUCGGGAGGCGUUAUCGACAGAAGAAGCACCGGCUAACUCCGUGCCAGCAGCCGCGGUAAUAC
rnacentral:rRNA from 1 species